rnacentral:rRNA from 1 species
UGCCACUCUUAACGGGGUGGCUUUUCAGAAGUGUAAAAAGCUUCUGGAAUAAGGGCUGGGCAAGACCGGUGCCAGCCGCCGCGGUAACACCGGCAGCUCAAGUGGUAGCCGCUUUUAUUGGGCCUAAAGCGUCCGUAGCCGGUCUGAUAAGUCUCUGGUGAAAUCCCACAGCUUAACUGUGGGAAUUGCUGGAGAUACUAUCAUGACUCGAGGUCGGGAGAGGCUGGAGGUACUCCCAGGGUAGGGGUGAAAUCCUGUAAUCCUGGGAGGACCACCUGUGGCGAAGGCGUCCAGCUGGAACGAACCUGACGGUGAGGGACGAAAGCCAGGGGCGCGAACCGGAUUAGAUACCCGGGUAGUCCUGGCCGUAAACGAUGUGGACUUGGUGUUGAGAUGGCUUCUAGCUGCCCCAGUGCCGAAAGGGAAGCUGUUAAGUCCACCGCCUGGGAAGUACGGCCGCA